GGGGGUGUGGGUCACAGUUGCAUGCGCUGCAGGAACCGAGUGCGAACACCAGUCAACAGAGCUGCGUUCUUUUUCUAGGUCUUUGGGAGGCAGUACUAGUAAACACACACAGCAGGACUGCCUGCUACAGCUGACUCUCCAGAUAAACUCAAGCGUGGCACGCAACCUUUAAGUAAAAGCAGAGAAGGAAUGGAAAGCAGCUCUAAUAACUCGACAGUCAGCAAGGCUGCUUCUCUUUUGCUCCAGAACUGCGAGACAAGUUUCACCUGCAGUCUGGGAGAGCUGGCCCAGUAGAUCACAUUUGAAAGUCUUUAUUAAGAAAGCUGCCAGGGGCAAAUAUUCCAUUUUGUAUUGUAAGCUUAGAAACAACCAAAAAGGAUAUUGUGGUUCUCUCGUGGUGUGGCAUACAAAUGUUCCUGUUUCAAAUUAAGACGAAGCAACCUUGAUAUUUACAAGAGCUGUUUGUUCUACUUGGGAAGAAAUGCUUAAAGACAAGUGUCUACUAGCAACCCUCCUAUUCUUAUGGGGUUGUAAGCAUCACUCCUGCAGGAAAAGAUGCCAACCGAAAAGCAGUGCAAAGUGAAUGGUCUGCAAGAAGUCACCAAAGACAAGGCAGGAUCCACCCCGGAUUAGGACACUCAUAGACACACACUCAUCUCACACUUAAGUCAAUGGUUUGCCAACUUGGAUAAUGUCAAAUUGUGGGAGGAAACCAGCCUACCCGUAAAGGCCACCAUUUUCCACACACAGAGCAUGUGGGCCCAGAAUAAAAUCAGGUCUCGCUGAAACAGUGAGCACACAUUA